AAAACAUGUUUUAAGGUUUUAUUUAAAGUUUGGCCUGCUCUAUGAUUAAUGUAUUAAAUGGCCGCGGUAUAUUAACUGUGCUAAGGUAGCGUAAUAAUUUGCUUUUUAAUUGGGAGCUCGAAUGAAUGGUUGGAUGAAACAUAAACUUUCUUCAUUUUAUUAUUUGAAUUUAAUUUUUUAGUUAAAAAGCUAAGAUUUUUUUGUGGGACGAGAAGACCCCGUAGAUCUUUAAUUGAGGUAGUAAUUUGUUGAUUUGUUAAUGUUUAGUAAAUUAAUAUUUUGAUUUUUGGUUGGGGCGAUUGUAGAAUUUAUGGAACUUCUAUUUUUACAUGUCAUUGAUGGGUGAGUGUUUGAUCUAUUAUUAAUGGUUAUAAGAUUAAGUUACCUCGGGGAUAACAGCGUAAUUUUCUCGGAGAGUUCAUAUUGAUGAGUAAGUUUGCGACCUCGAUGUUGGAUUAAAAUAAGUGAUUAAAUGAAGGAGUUAAUUAACUAGGUCUGUUCGACCUAUAAUUUUUUACAUGAUCUGAGU
rnacentral:rRNA from 1 species